GAUGAACGCUGGCGGUAUGCUUAACACAUGCAAGUCGAACGGACUCUUCGGAGUUAGUGGCGGACGGGUGAGUAACGCGUGAGAAUCUGGCUUUGGGUUCGGGACAACCACUGGAAACGGUGGCUAAUACCGGAUGUGCCGAGAGGUAAAAGAGAAAUUGCCUGAAGAUGAGCUCGCGUCUGAUUAGCUAGUUGGUGAGGUAAAGGCUCACCAAGGCAGCGAUCAGUAGCUGGUCUGAGAGGAUGACCAGCCACACUGGGACUGAGACACGGCCCAGACUUCCACGGGAGGCAGCAGUGGGGAAUUUUCCGCAAUGGGCGAAAGCCUUACGGAGCAAUACCGCGUUAGGGAAGAAGGCUCUUGGGUUGUAAACCUCUUUUCUUAGGGAAGAACAAAAUGACGGUACCUAAGGAAUCAGCAUCGGCUAACUCCGUG
rnacentral:rRNA from 1 species